rnacentral:rRNA from 1 species
AUUGAACGCUGGCGGCAUGCCUUACACAUGCAAGUCGAACGGUAACGGGCCUUCGGGUGCCGACGAGUGGCGAACGGGCGAGUAAUACACCGGAACGUGCCCGAUCGUGGGGGUUAACGAGGCGAAAGCUUUGCUAAUACCGCAUACGAUCUACGGAUGAAAGCAGGGGACCGCAAGGCCUUGCGCGGGCGGAGCGGCCGAGGGCGGAUUAGGUAGUUGGUGGGAUAAACGCUUACGAAGCCGACGAUCUGUAGCUGGUCUGAGGGGAUGAUCGGCCACACUGGGACUGGGACGCGGCCCAGACUCCUGCGGGAGGCAGCAGUGGGGAAUGUUGGACAGUGGGCGCAAGCCUGAUCCAGCCAUGCCGCGUGCAGGAUGAAGGCCUUCGGGUUGUAAACUGCUUUUGUACGGAACGAAAAGCCUUCUUUUAAUACAGGAGGUUCAUGACGGUACCGUAAGAAUAAGCACCGGCUAACUACGUG